UACGUAGGGUGCAAGCGUUGUCCGGAAUUAUUGGGCGUAAAGAGCUCGUAGGCGGUUUAUCGCGUCUGCUGUGAAAACUCGGGGCUUAACUCCGGGCCUGCAGUGGGUACGGGCAGACUAGAGUGCGGUAGGGGAGACUGGAAUUCCUGGUGUAGCGGUGAAAUGCGCAGAUAUCAGGAGGAACACCGGUGGCGAAGGCGGGUCUCUGGGCCGUAACUGACGCUGAGGAGCGAAAGCGUGGGGAGCGAACAGG
rnacentral:rRNA from 1 species